CAGUCUUAAAGUUUUAUGUACUCUUAUGGUUUAUGAUUGAUCUCAAUAAAUAGAACCAGUUGGAAAUAGACAUUCUAUUUCAGACCACACUUUAUGUAUUUCCAUGCUACACACCUAUACUGGAUCCAUGUCGUUGGUUAUAUUGAUAUACGUGAUCUAUGUUAGUUCUAGUUACGCAAGAGUAACUAAGAGCUCUUAGAUCCUAUGUUGGUAUGAUUGAUGGACCGGAUUGUUCAUGACAAUUUUAUUAUGANNN
rnacentral:lncRNA from 1 species